ACGCCGUAAACGAUGAAUACUAGGUGUAGGGUCGGAAGAUUCUGUGCCGCAGUUAACACAAUAAGUAUUCCACCUGGGGAGUACGGCCGCAAGGUUGAAACUCAAAGGAAUUGACGGGAGCCCGCACAAGCAGUGGAGUAUGCGGUUUAAUUCGACGCAACGCGAAGAACCUUACCAGAGCUUGACAUCCCGGUGACCGGCGGAGUAAUGUCUGCUUUCCCUUCGGGGCACCGGAGACAGGUGGUGCAUGGUUGUCGUCAGCUCGUGUCGUGAGAUGUUGGGUUAAGUCCCGCAACGAGCGCAACCCUUAUGUUCAGUUGCUACGAAAGAGCACUCUGGACAGACUGCCGUUGACAAAACGGAGGAAGGCGGGGAUGACGUCAAAUCAUCAUGCCCCUUACGCCCUGGGCCACACGCGUACUACAAUGGCGCAAACAACGAGCUGCGACCCCGCGAGGGGAAGCGAAUCUCAAAAAGGCGUCCCAGUUCAGACUGCAGGCUGCAACUCGCCUGCACGAAGUUGGAAUUGCUAGUAAUCGCGAAUCAGAAUGUCGCGGUGAAUACGUUCCCGGGCUUUGUACACACCGCCCGUCAAACCAUGAAAGUCGGGAAGACCCGAAGUCAGUGUCCUAACCGCAAGGAGGGAGCUGCCGAAGGUCGGUUCGAUGAUUGGGGUU
rnacentral:rRNA from 1 species